rnacentral:rRNA from 1 species
UAGGGAAUCUUGGACAAUGGGCGCAAGCCUGAUCCAGCCAUGCCGCGUGAGUGAAGAAGGCCUUCGGGUUGUAAAGCUCUUUUACCAGGGACGAUAAUGACGGUACCUGGAGAAUAAGCCCCGGCAAACUUCGUGCCAGCAGCCGCGGUAAUACGAAGGGGGCUAGCGUUGUUCGGAAUUACUGGGCGUAAAGCGCACGUAGGCGGAUUGUUAAGUCAGAGGUGAAAUCCCGGAGCUCAACUUCGGAACUGCCUUUGAUACUGGCAAUCUAGAGUCCGGAAGAGGUUAGUGGAAUUCCCAGUGUAGAGGUGAAAUUCGUAGAUAUUGGGAAGAACACCAGUGGCGAAGGCGGCUAACUGGUCCGGUACUGACGCUGAGGUGCGAAAGCGUGGGGAGCAAACAGGAUUAGAUACCCAAGUAGUCCCUGAGCGGGCUGGCAAGGCGCAU